AUCGCUCGGCCUUUUGGCUAAGAUCGAGUGUAGUAUCUGUCCUUAGCAGUUUAAUAUCUGGGGCUUCCCUCAUAGCUCAAUCGGUAAAGAAUCCGCC
rnacentral:snRNA from 1 species